AGAGUAAAAAAUAUUUUGAACAUAUCUUCGCAUUUCAAGAUGGUAUAAUGGCUUUAUUUCAUUUUGUUACUAAGACUAUUUAAUGUCUUAUUAGAGUGUUUUACAAUAGAGAGUGAGAGUGUUCACACUAACCAUGCAAUUUUGAUGGCUCUCUUUUACUUUAUACAGCAGCAGAUAUGGUUUAACACCAUGACACAAUUUAGUCCCCAAAACUGAAUGAGUGUGGCAGUUUUAACUUAACUGCUCAGUCCACCAGAAUCCUUAAUUAUCUUUAAAAAUGCUUUGCCAUAUCUCGUUAUCUGGACAUGUCUCCCUAUCUCCACUUUGAGAUCCUUGAUCUUUCAUCUAAAGGAUGAGAUCCAAUUUAGCCUAGCAAGAAUACGAAGAACUUAUGCUACAGACUGCAGAGGCACUAAGUAGUGACUAAAGGAACUUGCCUAUCAAUUGCUUAAAGAUCACCUUGAGAAAACUUUUUUCUGCUCGGAUUCAACUCAAGGAUUGGAAUAAUUGAGAAGACUGGUAGGCACUGGAGCAUGGAGAGCCCUUCAGCCUCUGUGGAUAUAAACUACAGAAUAAAAUU